rnacentral:rRNA from 1 species
GACGGAGGGCGCAAGCGUUGUUCGGAAUUACUGGGCGUAAAGCGCGCGCAGGCGGUCUUCCAAGUCAGUGGUGAAAGCCCGGAGCUCAACUCCGGAAUUGCCAUUGAAACUGUUAGACUUGAGGAUGAGAGAGGUGAGUGGAAUUCCCAGUGUAGAGGUGAAAUUCGUAGAUAUUGGGAAGAACACCGGUGGCGAAGGCGGCUCACUGGCUCAUUACUGACGCUCAGGCGCGAUAGCGUGGGGAUCAAACAGG